GGGGCAUCCAUUUUCCCAAGACUUCUUUGACAGAGGGCUGCCUCCUUGGCAAACAACAGGGCAGAAGGUCUGGGGGCAGGAGAAGGCCACAGAGGAGCCCAGGAAAGCCCAGGGCCGGCCACUUCGGGGCAGAGGUGAUCAGGAAGCCCCCCACCUACAACAGAUGCAGCGGGAGAGAACUGAGCCCAAACUGCUCCGCAAGCCUGGGCUUGAAUUCCUGCUCCGCCGUUCGGAGCUGAAUACCCUACAGCUCUCAUCUCCCGUGGUCCUUCAACAUCCCUGGGAGGAACUCAUACUCACUCUACUUUAUAGACGCGGGCCGGGCACCAGAGAGCCUAAGUGAUUCGGCCAAGGUCACGCAGCCGAACUGACUGAUGUGUGCUCAGAAGCCCAAGAGAGAGAAGUCAGCCUACCUGCAAGUGUAGCGUCACUUUGAAAUCGUAAAUCUAAUCCUAUGACUUA